rnacentral:piRNA from 1 species
UGACCCUUCCGUGAGUUUGGGGA